rnacentral:rRNA from 1 species
UACGUAGGGUGCGAGCGUUGUCCGGAAUUAUUGGGCGUAAAGGGCUCGUAGGCGGUUUGUCGCGUCGGGAGUGAAAACCAUGGGCUUAACUCAUGGCUUGCUUCCGAUACGGGCAGACUAGAGGUAUGCAGGGGAGAACGGAAUUCCUGGUGUAGCGGUGAAAUGCGCAGAUAUCAGGAGGAACACCGGUGGCGAAGGCGGUUCUCUGGGCAUUACCUGACGCUGAGGCUCGAAAGCGUGGGGAGCAAACAGG